AGCAGAGUCACCCACCAGAUUAAGACAACAUGCCUAAUAUUUUUCUAAGCGUUCCUAUUUCACUCAUAUGCCUCACAGCUGUCAGUCUUGGUAAAACUGUUGUCCAGACUCCUGGUGACCUCAUAAAGAACCAAGAUGAAUCAGCUGUGUUCAUAUGUGAACACAACAUACAGAGCUAUAACAGCAUUCUUUGGUACAAACAGGAAAUUAUGGGCUUAAAGUUCAUGGGAUACCUUAAUCUUCAGAUUGACUACCCAGAGUCUGAAUUUAAAGGAAAGGUUGAAUUGAAGGGAGAUGGAAGAAAAAACGGCACUCUAACCAUCAACACUCUCAACCUGAAUGACAGUGCAGCAUAUUUCUGUGCAGCAUAUUACACAGUGAUCAGAAUCAACUCUUUCUAUUACAAAAACCUUCUUUAA